AACGGAAAGGCCAUGCUUGCAGGGUACUCGAGUGGCGAACGGGUGAGUAACACGUGGGUGAUUUGCCCUGCACUUCGGGAUAAGCUUGGGAAACUGGGUCUAAUACCGGAUAGGAGCCAUCUUUAGUGUGGUGGUUGGAAAGUUUUUUCGGUGUAGGAUGAGCUCGCGGCCUAUCAGCUUGUUGGUGGGGUAAUGGCCUACCAAGGCGGCGACGGGUAGCCGGCCUGAGAGGGUGUACGGCCACAUUGGGACUGAGAUACGGCCCAGACUCCUACGGGAGGCAGCAGUGGGGAAUAUUGCACAAUGGGCGCAAGCCUGAUGCAGCGACGCCGCGUGGGGGAUGAAGGCCUUCGGGUUGUAAACUCCUUUCGCUAGGGACGAAGCUUUUUUGUGACGGUACCUA
rnacentral:rRNA from 1 species